rnacentral:lncRNA from 1 species
AGAGGGGCCUCGCAAGUGGAUGUAGGUCAUUUGACCGAACCACUUUAAAAUCGGCGUAAUCUCUGGUUUGCGUUUAUGUUUAUGCAUUUAUCUUUCUGCAAACCUUUACUCUGCUAAGUUCACUGCCCUCAUCUUAUUACGUACGCUUUCAACGCAAUUGAAACGGUUUCAAACGAAAACGUUGCUUUUAUCGUACGAAAGAUUUUCUAAAACCGAAGUUUUAAUCCGCUACACUAAUUCACCCCCCCCCCCCC